CUGUUUGUAGUCAUAUGCUUGUCUCAAAGAUUAAGCCAUGCAUGUCUAAGUAUAAGCAAUUAUACAGCGAAACUGCGAAUGGCUCAUUAUAUAAGUUAUCGUUUAUUUGAUAGUACCUUACUACUUGGAUAACCGUGGUAAUUCUAGAGCUAAUACAUGCUAAAAAUCCCGACUUCGGAAGGGAUGUAUUUAUUAGAUUAAAAACCAAUGCCCUCCGGGGCUCACUGGUGAUUCAUGAUAACUUCUCGAACCGCAUGGCCUUGCGCCGGCGAUGGUUCAUUCAAAUUUCUUCCCUAUCAACUUUCGAUGUUUGGGUAUUGGCCAAACAUGGUUGCAACGGGUAACGGGGAAUGGGGCGGGGGCGGCGGGCCGGGCGCGGGGCGCGGCGGGCGA
rnacentral:rRNA from 1 species